CGCUCCGAUUACACUUGUCGUUCAGUUCAUAUGAAACCAUCGCUGAUGUAACUGCCUCGACCUGCUGCAUGAGAUAUUUUUUUAACACUGCGAUUUUUUAACACCGCGAAUCCACAUGUACUGAAAUAUCGUAAUUUUUCACAGUGCAUUUUGUGACAAACUAGUCACGAGUUUUACUCGAGAACGGUUACGAAUAGGAGAUACGCAGACAGGCAAUUAUGGAUCGUUGGCUUGGUAAAACCGCAGUCGUUACCGGCGCUGCAUCCGGCAUCGGCGAAGCAAUUACACGUGCUCUUCUGCAAAACGGAGUGAACGUGGCUGCUCUGGAUGUCCAGAAAGAAAGAUUAGCAAAACUCGAUGUGGAAUGUAAGCGAGAAGGUUUCCCCGGCACGUUACAUACUAUAUGCUGUGACGUAGCUCGCGAGGAGGAGAUUGAUGCAGCAUUCUCGUACAUUGAGGCAUUAGGUGGUGUUGAUAUUAUGGUCAAUAAUGCUGGUGUUGUCGAAUAUUCACGAGUAAUAGAGAGCGACAGGAAGGCAUUUGAAAGACUGUUAAAUAUUAAUGUCCUCGCAGUCGCUGUGUGUACCAAUAAAGCAGUGCGUUCAAUGCGCAAACGAAAUGUCGAAGGACAUGUUUUCAAUAUCAACAGCGUUCUGAGCCACUAUAUACCAUUCAAUUUUGCGAAUUGUAAUCUGUAUCCUGCCAGUAAGCAUGGAUCUAUUGCUUUGACUCACACAGUACGACAAGAAUUAGCGGAAGUUAAGGCUUCUAUUCGAAUUACCAGCAUUAGUCCUGGUAUUGUGAAAACAAAUAUAGCUGCACAUUCAGAGACAAUGAACGAGCUUUUCGAAAAAGUGCCAACUCUUAAUCCCAAAGACAUAGCGGAUGCGCUCAUUUAUGCUCUUGGAACGCGACCGGAAGUUCAGAUUACAGAGCUUACCAUCCAGCAUACCGGCGAGAUUCCGUGAAGAAUAUCAUCAGUAAGAUCCUGGUCUUUUAAUGCAACAACUUCACAAGAAACAACUUUACUUUAAUAAUAAAGUAAGAAACUCGGAGGAGUUUAACUAAGCUUUCAUGUUGCUUUGCAUUUUUUAUGUGAAUAUAAAAUUUUUAUGUCUAAGUUAUUCUUUCUUUCUAAUACUGAUUACAUUUCACUCAAUAGUUUUAAUAUGUAUAAUUUUCUUUAACGUACGUCUAAUUAAAGCUAAAUAACGCGUGCGCGCGCGAUAAAGAUAAACAAUGUAAUAAAAUCUGAGGCAAAAAUUUUUAUCGCGUUUUUGUCGUAGAUACCUACAUUUGUUUCAUAAAAGUGCACGAAAAAUGACAUCGCAAAGAUAUUUUUUUGUGCAUUCUACACGCAAGAGUGUAUACUCGAAAUAUAUGGCCACUAUGCUAUCAGGAGACAAAUAUCGGCAAUCGUAUCUCGCUGCGUUUAUUUCGCGCGAUGCCUUAUCCUUGUCUGUAUCGUUCUAAAAAGAUAUACUCGAAAUUCCGAUUUGUGAUCAAUUCCGCUUAUCGCGUAGCAACGUUAUCGGCACAUAUAUUUGCGUGUAAUCGUUGCAUUCAAAUUUCGACGAAGUGACUGCUACACUAGUGGUUACAUCCUGCUUCGCGCAUGACAAAUAUAGUGGUGUCAUUUGGCAUUUAUAUGAUCGAAAUGCGCAUUUCCUAUACACAAACGCGCGUCCCCUCAUAUCUACUAGUCUAUCUGUGUGAAAGCUUCUAAACACGAACUUCCGACAAUAGCGGCUCACACUGUACCGAGCUUGACUGUCAGCUAGGGAGGCAUUUGAGUGCGAGCGAUAGUUAAGGUGUCAAACAAGUUCCGUCGUGCUUCGAGCAGUUCGAGGGAAUCGCGUCGCAUUAUCAGGGAAAUCGAUUUUCCCGGCAUGCAUCGAAUGUCGGGUCCUGUCAAAAUCUAAGUGUACCUACGCCUCGUAUUCUAAUUCUGCGAUUAGAUCUCGUUUCUCGCAACGUAUAGUGAGAUUGUAUACCUAUUCAAUUCAUCGCUUUGAAGGCUGCAUAAUGCACAUGAUAUAAUGCAGUCAGGAUAUUUUUUCUUUUAUAUAGAAAUAAAAUACAAUAUUAUAUUAGGAAGAUUGGAAAAUAUGAUGCUCUUAGCUGUUACAUUAAGGAAAGGCGAGGGUUUAUAAGAAGCAAGAUGUAAAGAGCGUGGAAGAGCAGCAGAAUGAUGAUCGAUAAAGACGUACUCGGUGCUUCAUGGGGCUGUCCGUACGGACGGGAGAGAGAAAGAGAGAGCCGGCAUUUAGGAAUUUAUAUUAAAAUAUGUAAAUCUAUCGGCGCGGGCAUAUUUGAAAACAGAUAAAUUAUGCCGGCCGUGUAUUGCGUUCUCGUGGUAAAAUAUCGACAGUGCAGCGGUGCGGGGUGGGAUUGAAGCUAACGGACAGAAGCGGAGUUCCUCGCAUAACAGCACGUUCUGUCGGCCAGUAGAAAUGCGAUUUAUGACGAUUAUUGUGUAACGAUUAUAAAUUAUCUCUUUAUUUACGCGGGACGGCAGCAGAGUUCGCGUUCCCAUUGUUUUUCAAUGUCUUUCGCGUCUUCCUCAAAUAACAACACCUGAUGCUUCCAAAUUCUGUCGCUUCGUUUAGCCCGUUUACAUUGCGUGGCGACGAGUUUAUCUCGCAGAUUAGCAUUGUCAAACAAACUUGUCUGACAAAAUGCAAAUGAGAAAUUAAGUACUUCAAAUGAAGCCGAUAUGUUCUAAUCAGUGCAAGUUUUUAAAACAUUUGGCUACUGUAUGUAAAACUUAAUAAACUUAUACAUAUAUUGGAA
rnacentral:misc_RNA from 1 species